rnacentral:rRNA from 1 species
GAUGAACGCUGGCGGCGUGCCUAAUACAUGCAAGUCGAGCGAAUGGAUUAAGAGCUUGCUCUUAUGAGGUUAGCGGCGGACGGGUGAGUAACACGUGGGUAACCUGCCCAUAAGACUGGGAUAACUCCGGGAAACCGGGGCUAAUGCCGGAUAACAUUUUGAACCGCAUGGUUCGAAAUUGAAAGGCGGCUUCGGCUGUCACUUAUGGAUGAACCCGCGUCGCAUUAGCUAGUUGGUGAGGUAACGGCUCACCAAGGCAACGAUGCGUAGCCGACCUGAGAGGGUGAUCGGCCACAGUGGGACUGGGACACGGCCCAGACUCCUACGGGAGGCAGCAGUAGGGAAUCUUCCGCAAUGGACGAAAGUCUGACGGAGCAACGCCGCGUGAGUGAUGAAGGCUUUCGGGUCGUAAAACUCUGUUGCUAGGGAAGAACAAGUGCUAGUUGAAUAAGCUGGCACCUUGACGGUACCUAACCAGAAAGCCACGGCUAACUACGUGCCAGCCGCCGCUGUAA